AAUGAGCACCUACUUGAAGCUCUUGUGCUUUGAUACCACUUGAUGGAAGCUUGCUAGUGGGGCUUCUACGGAGGCUGGAUCUUUGAGCUUCAAUGAGGUCCUUUAAUGGUGAUUUUCCACCAUGGAGAUGCAGCAGAAGACAAAGGAGAAGAGGUGAGAGGAGGCGCCAUCCAUUAAAGAAUAAGCCAUGAAAGAAGGAGCUUCACCACCAAGAUGAGCUUUGGAUAAGAAGCUUGGAGAGGAUUC
rnacentral:lncRNA from 1 species